rnacentral:rRNA from 1 species
UACGAAGGGGGCUAGCGUUGUUCGGAUUUACUGGGCGUAAAGCGCACGUAGGCGGAUCGUUAAGUCGGGGGUGAAAUCCUGGAGCUCAACUCCAGAACUGCCUUCGAUACUGGCGAUCUUGAGUCCGGAAGAGGUGAGUGGAACUCCUAGUGUAGAGGUGAAAUUCGUAGAUAUUCGGAAGAACACCAGUGGCGAAGGCGGCUCACUGGCUCAUACUGGACGCUGAGGUGCGAAAGCGUGGGGAGCAAACAGG